UUUUUUUUUUUUUUUGUCUUUUUGCUAUUUCUUUGGGCCGCUCGCGAGGCACAUGGAGGUUCCCAGGCUAGGGGUCCAAUCGGAGCUCUNNNNNNNNNNNNNNNNNNNNNNNNNNNNNNNNNNNNNNNNAAAAAAAAAAAAAAAAAAAAAAGAAAAAAGAAAAUAGCUCUUUGUCAUGUAAGGAAGUUUGUUGUAUUGUAUAACAUGCUUCUUUCCUUUGGCAUCAAAAUUCAAAACCGAAUCCAUGUAUAGAUAAAAUAUCUGAAAUUUGACCACUUUGCACUGUGUGUGUGAGCUGGCAAAGUGGCACAGACCAUUUGGAAAAUCAAAACAAUGGUGGUUUCUACUGGACUUGGGAGGAUAUUGGCAUAAUUCUGGAAAAGUUGCAGAAACCAUAGCUGGAACAUUAGAUUUUUUUAUAAUUUUUUAUGAUAUUAUUUAUUUUGCCAACAUAGAAUCUACAACAAGUCAAAGCUAUGUGUUGUUAUAUAGUUGUUUUUAAAGUACUUUUUAAGAAAGUCAGUAGAAGUAAGAAUAAUUGUAUUGUGGCAUGUGUGCGCAUAUUUGUGUGCAUCUUACCUGGAAACUUUCUUGAGAGCCACCUGUUAGGUUCCCAUUCUUGAAUUGCUAGCCCUUCUGAGACUAAUGAAGAGAAAAUAAAUCUCUAAUACAGAUACUCAAAAGUAUCUGCUUAUUGUUGUUUCUGGAUUUAUUUAUCCUGAAGUGAAUGUGCAAAUAGAGAAAUUCAGAGAGUUAUAAUAAUAGUAUGUUAUUUUUUAUUCUUACAGUCUUAAGUGCAACAGCAGUAAAGUAGUAUUAAAUAUUAAAAGGAAAACUAAUCAUUUGUAAUUAAAAAACAUUUUCUGGAGUUCCCGUCAGUGGUGCAGUGGAAACGAAUCUGACUAGGAACCAUGAGGUUGAGGGUUCGAUCCCUGGCCUCACUCAGUGUAUUAUGGAUCCUGUGUUGGGGUGAGCUGUGGCGUAGCUCACAGACAGAGCUCGGAUCUGGUGUUGCUGUGGCUCUGGCAUAGGCUGGUGGCAAUAGCUCUGAUUAGACCCCUAGCCUGGGAACCUCCAUAUGCUUGCGGGUACGGCUCUAAAAAAGACAAAAGACAAAAAAUAAACAUUUUCUAUCAUCCUUGCCUACAAUUCUUAGAAUUUGUUGAUUUUGGUGUGUAAUGUAUAGUCUGUACUGUGUAAUGUUCACAUCUCAUGGCUUGAAUGAUCUCAAAGUACCCAAAGGUACCUCAACUUAUUUUUUAAGCUAUUGUUUUUAAGGCAAAAUAAAUUAGCUUAAAUUCUCCCACAACCCUGAGAUUGUUAAUUAAUUCAGCCUUACUCCAUUAUACAAUUAGAAUUUAAACUCUCGGUCUGGAUGCUACAUCUGUUAACAAUGGGGAGUAAUGAAAGAAAUAAUGCUGAUGAUGAUUUAUAAUGACUUGCUCAUAGUAAAAUAGUAAAUGGAAGGGAAAAGCUCUGGGUUAAAAGAUGUGGAUGGAGAUCACAAUUAAGCAGUUGGCACAAAUAUUUUUCAUUCUUAAUUGACACUUCCCUUUAAUUUCCCAUUUAAUGGCUUAAGUGGUAAAUGAAUUCACAUGCUAAUUUAUUGUUUAUACUUAAAAAUCUUUCAGAAGUUUCAAAGGUAGAUCCUUCUUGAAUGGAGGUCACCAAAAUUUGGUCAUUUUAAUAUUUUUUCUCUAUUCUAACUGUUAAGUAGAAUAGAAAUUUUGUUGAUGCAUAAGUAAAUUUAUAAAACAACCAAAUGAGUUAAUUUAACUAUUUGCUCUUUAAAAAAGUAUAAUACCACAAACUUUGAUCUCAACCUCUUGGCAUCCACUUUGGAAUGCUGAAACUCAUCAAAUAUCUUGUUUGAAGAAAAAGCCCUUGAAAGUUUUGUAUUCAGAAAAAAAAAUGUGCUAAAAAAAUUAAAAAUCAACUAAAUUUUAGACAAAGCUUCAAAAGCUUUUUAUUCCUUUGAACUUGGGUACAAUAUUUGCAAUUAAGUACUUUUUAAACAUUCUUGGCAAACCUGAUCUCAGUUUAGUUUGAAAAUAAUUUGAAGAAUUCCUGUCAUAGCUCAGCAGGUUAAAAACCCAACCAGUAUCCAUGAGGAUGUGGGUUUGAUGCCUGGUCUCGCUUAGCUCAGUGGGUUAAGGAUCCAGUGUUGCCCUGAGCUCUGGUGUAGGUCGUAGAUGCAGCUCAGAUCCCAUGUUAACUGUGGCCUAGGCCAGCGUCUGCAGUUGAUUUGACCCCUAGCCUGGAAACUUCCAUAUGCCUAGGGUGUAGCUCAUUAAAAAAUAAGUUGAUAAUUCAGUGUUUCAGUAAUUUCAGCAUUUUAGGAAAACAUCUAAUUUAGCAAACUAAUCUUAAAGUGUGAUUUCACUUUUUUUAGGGAAAGGAGAAAGGAACUUCUGGUCGUAUAACUUAUUUAGCUCUACUUUUUUUUCACUGUUAAAAUAGGUAUCUUGGAGUGGAUUCAGAAGUUGUAAAUAGUUUAAACUGGGGUGGAGGAGAAUUAGGGUGGGUGAGAUAGUCAUAAGAUGAAAUUGAUUCAUGCUGAAAAGUACCUCAAGAACUUUGAGAUUCGAUCUCAUUUACCACUUUGAUGAUGUAGUAGAAGAGAAUAAACAGUAGUUAAUGAAAUUUAUAAGUGGGUCCAAAUUGGUAGUUGUUACCCAAGUUUAUUAAGAAUAAAGAAAAUUAAAAACAAUGAGAAACUAAGAAAGAUAAUUAGAAAGUCCUGUAAAUGAAUAAUCUUGGAAAGCAAAACUGAAUUUUGAUGUGUAAGAAUGGUGGUAAAACUGCUAUUCUAAGAGAUUUCAUGAUAUUCAUGAAAUGAAAGGUUAAUUAUAAUUCUACACAGGUGGAAUAGAAGUACACAGUAUUGAAACAGAUUCUGACUUAUUAUUUUAAAUCAGGGUAUUUUAAUACCAAGUUGUAACUGUUGCAUGAUAUCAAUAAAAUGGAGUCUUUAACAGUGAAAAACAGAUAGUGGGGUUAGAGUAUAUUUAUUCACACAAGUGGAACACUUGGCAUAUUCUAAAGUAUACAAAAUAUAUGACCAAGUAUACAAGGAGAAAGUGAAGUGUCACAAAAUAAGCCCACAAGGGCAGUUCCUGUCGUGGCGCAGUGGUCAACGAAUCCGACUAGGAACCUUGAGAUUGCAGGUUUGAUCCCUGGCCUUGCUCAGUGGGUUAAAGAUUGAGCGUUGCCGUGAGCUGUGGUGUAGGUCACAGAUGUGGCUUGGAUCCCUCGUCGCUGUGGCCCUGGCAUAGGCCAGUGGCUACAGCUCUUAUUUGACCCCUACCCUGGGAACCUCCAUAUCCUGCAGCAGCAGUCCUAGAAAAGGCAAAAAGUAAAAAAAAAAAAGAAAAAAAAAA
rnacentral:lncRNA from 1 species